UACGUAGGGGGCUAGCGUUGUCCGGAUUUAUUGGGCGUAAAGAGCGUGUAGGCGGCCAGGCAAGUCCGACGUGAAAUCUGGAGGCUCAACCUCCAGCGGUCGUUGGAAACUGCUUGGCUAGAGUCCGGAAGAGGAGAGUGGAAUUCCUGGUGUAGCGGUGAAAUGCGCAGAUAUCAGGAAGAACACCGAUGGCGAAAGCAGCUCUCUGGGACGGUACUGACGCUGAGACGCGAAAGCGUGGGGAGCAAACAGG
rnacentral:rRNA from 1 species